rnacentral:rRNA from 1 species
CAGUCGCCGCGGGAAUACAGAGGGUGCAAGCGUUAAUCGGAAUUACUGGGCGUAAAGCGCGCGUAGGUGGUUUGUUAAGUUGGAUGUGAAAUCCCCGGGCUCAACCUGGGAACUGCAUCCAAAACUGGCAAGCUAGAGUAUGGUAGAGGGUGGUGGAAUUUCCUGUGUAGCGGUGAAAUGCGUAGAUAUAGGAAGGAACACCAGUGGCGAAGGCGACCACCUGGACUGAUACUGACACUGAGGUGCGAAAGCGUGGGGAGCAAACAGGAUUAGAUACCCCCGUAGUCCCUGUCUCUUAUCC